rnacentral:rRNA from 1 species
GGCGACCGGCGCACGGGUGCGUAACGCGUAUGCAACUUGCCUUACAGAGGGGGAUAACCCGUUGAAAGACGGACUAAAACCGCAUACACUUGUAUUAUUGCAUGAUAUUACAAGGAAAUAUUUAUAGCUGUAAGAUAGGCAUGCGUCCCAUUAGCUUGUUGGUGAGGUAACGGCUCACCAAGGCGACGAUGGGUAGGGGAACUGAGAGGUUUAUCCCCCACACUGGUACUGAGACACGGACCAGACUCC